CCUACGGGUGGCAGCAGUCGAGAAUCAUUCACAAUGGGGGAAACCCUGAUGGUGCGACGCCGCGUGGGGGAAUGAAGGUCUUCGGAUUGCAAACCCCUGUCAUGUGGGAGCAAAUUAAAAAGAUAGUACCACAAGAGGAAGAGACGGCUAACUCUGUGCCAGCAGCCGCGGGAAUACAGAGGUCUCAAGCGUUGUUCGGAAUCACUGGGCGUAAAGCGUGCGUAGGCUGUUUCGUAAGUCGUGUGUGAAAGGCGCGGGCUCAACCCGCGGACGGCACAUGAUACUGCGAGACUAGAGUAAUGGAGGGGGAACCGGAAUUCUCGGUGUAGCAGUGAAAUGCGUAGAUAUCGAGAGGAACACUCGUGGCGAAGGCGGGUUCCUGGACAUUAACUGACGCUGAGGCACGAAGGCCAGGGGAGCGAAAGGGAUUAGAUACCCCAGUAGUC
rnacentral:rRNA from 1 species